GACGAACGCUGGCGGCGUGCCUAAUACAUGCAAGUAGGACGCAGUUGCGAACGGGUGAGUAACGCGUAGGUAACUUACUAUUAGAGGGGGAUCACUAUUGGAAACGAUAGCUAAUACCGCAUACUAGUAAAAUGACCUGCCUUGUAUUAGCUAGUAGGUAGGGUAAUAGCCUACCUAGGCAACGAUACAUAGCCGACCUGGUAGGGUGAUCGGCCACACCGGGACUGAGACACGGCCCAGACUCCUACGGGAGGCAGCAGUAGGGAAUCUUCGGCAAUGGGGGGAACCCUGACCAAGCAACGCCGCGUGAGUGAAGAAGGUUUUCGGAUCGUAAAGCUCUGUUGUUAAGGAAGCGGUACUUAACCAGAAAGGGACGGCUAACUACGUGCCAGCAGCCGCGGUAAUAC
rnacentral:rRNA from 1 species